rnacentral:rRNA from 1 species
UUUAUGGAGAGUUUGAUCCUGGCUCAGGAUGAACGCUGGCGGCGUGCCUAAUACAUGCAAGUCGAGCGAACGGACGAGAAGCUUGCUUCUCUGAUGUUAGCGGCGGACGGGUGAGUAACACGUGGAUAACCUACCUAUAAGACUGGGAUAACUUCGGGAAACCGUAGCUAAUACCGGAUAAUAUUUUGAACCGCAUGGUUCAAAAGUGAAAGACGGUCUUGCUGUCACUUAUAGAUGGAUCCGCGCUGCAUUAGCUAGUUGGUAAGGUAACGGCUUACCAAGGCAACGAUGCAUAGCCGACCUGAGAGGGUGAUCGGCCACACUGGAA